rnacentral:lncRNA from 1 species
AUCCUUAACUUUGCUAACAUAAUCUGAUCCAUGGCCGACGCCCUCAAUUGCUCCUAGGAAGCUCCUCUUUGAUGACUACCUAUGGGCUUGCAUUCGAUUUUUUGAGGCCAUGCCAUGGAUGGAAGGCGAGGAGGUCAUCAGCUUGGUCCCCAUUCUUCAUAAAAAAGAAUCAUUGGAUCUCCAAUUGCUAAGGUUUCUUCGAAGGUGGCCAUCAAAAAUGGGAAUAGCACAUUGGAAG